AGUGAACGCUGGCGGUAGGCCUAACACAUGCAAGUCGAACGGCAGCACAGUAAGAGCUUGCUCUUACGGGUGGCGAGUGGCGGACGGGUGAGGAAUACAUCGGAAUCUACUUUUUCGUGGGGGAUAACGUAGGGAAACUUACGCUAAUACCGCAUACGACCUACGGGUGAAAGCAGGGGAUCUUCGGACCUUGCGCGAUUGAAUGAGCCGAUGUCGGAUUAGCUAGUUGGCGGGGUAAAGGCCCACCAAGGCGACGAUCCGUAGCUGGUCUGAGAGGAUGUUCGCCAAAAUGGGAACGAGGAAACGUGCCGAACUCCAACGGGAGGCAGCAGUGGGGAUUAUUGAACAAGGGGCGCAAGCCGAUUCCAGCCAUCCCGCGGGGGUGAAGAAGGCCUUCGGGUGGUAAAGCCCUUUUGUGGGGAAAAAAAAGCAGCGGUUUAAAACCCCGCUGUUCGGACGUGACCCAAGAAUAAAGCACCGCCAAACUCGUU
rnacentral:rRNA from 1 species